UGGGGAAUCUUCCGCAAUGGGCGAAAGCCUGACGGAGCAACGCCGCGUGAGUGAAGACGGCCUUCGGGUUGUAAAACUCUGUGAUUCGGGACGAAAGAUAAGUAGACGAAUAAUCUGCAUAAGUGACGGUACCGAAAAAGCAAGCCACGGCUAACUACGUGCCAGCAGCCGCGGUAAUACGUAGGUGGCAAGCGUUGUCCGGAAUUAUUGGGCGUAAAGCGCGCGCAGGCGGCUACUUAAGUCCAUCUUAAAAGUGCGGGGCUUAACCCCGUGAUGGGAUGGAAACUGAGAAGCUGGGGUGUCGGAGAGGAAAGUGGAAUUCCUAGUGUAGCGGUGAAAUGCGUAGAGAUUAGGAAGAACACCGGUGGCGAAGGCGACUUUCUGGACUUUUACUGACGCUCAGGUACGAAAGCGUGGGGAGCAAACAGG
rnacentral:rRNA from 1 species